ACCAAAGGGUGAACACAUGUGCUACAAUGGCAAUGACAAUGGGAAGCAAGGCUGUAAGGCGGAGCGAAUCCGGAAAGAUUGCCUCAGUUCGGAUUGUUCUCUGCAACUCGGGAACAUGAAGUUGAAAUCGCUAGUAAUCGCGGAUCAGCAUGCCGCGGUGAAUAUGUACC
rnacentral:rRNA from 1 species